GACGAACGCUGGCGGCGUGCUUAACACAUGCAAGUCGAACGGAAAGGCCCUGCUUUUGUGGGGUGCUCGAGUGGCGAACGGGUGAGUAACACGUGAGUAACCUGCCCUUGACUUUGGGAUAACUUCAGGAAACUGGGGCUAAUACCGGAUAGGAGCUCCUGCUGCAUGGUGGGGGUUGGAAAGUUUCGGCGGUUGGGGAUGGACUCGCGGCUUAUCAGCUUGUUGGUGGGGUAGUGGCUUACCAAGGCUUUGACGGGUAGCCGGCCUGAGAGGGUGACCGGCCGUGGUGGGGAGGCGGGCCGGCCACGAGGCCUAGUGGGGGGGGGGGGGGGGAGUGGUGGAGAGGGGGGGGGAGGUGGGGGAGGCAGCGCGGCGGGCGGGAUGAGGGCGUUGGGGGUGGAAACCGGUGUGGCCUGCGACGAGGCGGGAGGGAGGGUGGGGGGUAAAGAAGCACAGAAUAACGACGCGCCAGCGGCCGCGGUAAGACUCGGAAGAGCAAGUGUCCGACC
rnacentral:rRNA from 1 species